rnacentral:rRNA from 1 species
UGGGGAAUAUUGGACAAUGGGCGAAAGCCUGAUCCAGCAAUGCCGCGUGUGUGAAGAAGGUCUUCGGAUUGUAAAGCACUUUCGACGGGGACGAUGAUGACGGUACCCGUAGAAGAACGCCCCGGCUAACUUCGUGCCCG